UACGGAGGGUGCAAGCGUUGUCCGGAAUCACUGGGCGUAAAGGGCGCGUAGGCGGCUCAUGAAGGCUGUGGUGAAAGUCCGGGGCUCAACCUCGGAUCGGCCGUGGCGACUCGUGGGCUGGAGCACUGUAGAGGCGGGUGGAAUUCCGGGUGUAGCGGUGGAAUGCGUAGAGAUCCGGAAGAACACCGGUGGCGAAGGCGGUCUGCUGGGCAGUAGCUGGACACUGAGGCGCGACAGCGUGGGGAGCAACAGG
rnacentral:rRNA from 1 species